GACGAAGGAUGCAAGCGUUAUCCGGAUUCACUGGGUUUAAAGGGUGCGUAGGCGGGCAGGUAAGUCCGUGGUGAAAUCUCUGAGCUUAACUCAGAAACUGCCAUGGAUACUAUUUGUCUUGAAUGUUGUGGAGGUAAGCGGAAUAUGUCAUGUAGCGGUGAAAUGCUUAGAUAUGACAUAGAACACCAAUUGCGAAGGCAGCUUACUACACAAAUAUUGACGCUGAGGCUCGAAAGCGUGGGGAUCAAACAGG
rnacentral:rRNA from 1 species